CUGAGUAGGAAUCUGACCAGCAAAAUGAUUAGCUUUCAGAAGAAGAACACUCAGUGCCGAAAGAUUGCCAAACUAGUUUGAAAUUGGGCCCAUGAAGUUGUUGUAUGUGAGAUCCAAUGUCACCAACGAAGAGCUGUUAUAUGAGUUCAAGAUUGAAA